rnacentral:rRNA from 1 species
AAAUGAAUAGACGGGGGCCCGCACAAGCGGAGGAACAUGUGGUUUAAUUCGAUGAUACGCGAGGAACCUUACCUGGGCUUAAAUGUAGGCUGCAUUCCGCUGAAAGGUGGAUUUCCGCAAGGACUGCUUACAAGGUGCUGCAUGGUUGUCGUCAGCUCGUGCCGUGAGGUGUCGGGUUAAGUCCCAUAACGAGCGCAACCCCUACCGUUAGUUGCCAUCAGGUCAUGCUGGGAACUCUAGCGGGACUGCCACCGUAAGGUGAGAGGAAGGUGGGGAUGACGUCAAAUCAGCACGGCCCUUAUGUCCAGGGCUACACACGUGUUACAAUGGCAGGUACAAAGGGCAGCUACACCGCGAGGUGAUGCUAAUCUCUAAAGCCUGUCUCAGUUCGGAUCGCAGUCUGAAACCCGACUGCGUGAAGUUGGAUUCGCUAGUAAUCGCGCAUCAGCCAUGGCGCGGUGAAUACGUUCCCGGGCCUUGUACACACCGCCCGU